rnacentral:lncRNA from 1 species
AUUACUAAGAAAAAAAGAGAAAAGAGCUAAUAUCUAAAUUAUUUACCUAGUAUUUAAAGAGUUAAGUAGUAAUAAGAGUGUGCAUUUGUAUAAUUAAUUGUGCUUGUGCCUACAUGUAACCAGGAAAGAUGUACCUAUUCCAGAAAAGUCAUCAGUAAAGACAUUGUAAAGUGAAAGAGAAAUGUCUGGAGAAAAACUCUGUAAAGUGCAGUUAUAUCUAGAACUAUAGCAUGUCUGAGGUGCUCAGUCAUCACAAGUAGCUAUCAUUCUUGAGGAACACUUUCUUUUGCUUCCCAUAACCGUGUGUCUCAUUCUGUGAGUUAGCCUCAGGUAAACAAUUGCUACAUUCCUAUGUUCAUGUCUCUAUCUGGAGCUGGUAAUAGCAAGGAACUAUACUGCAGCUGGCAAUUGCUCAUGAAUGACUAUUUGUUGAAAAGACUGUGUAUGCAUGCAGUAUGUAUGGGAAAAUCUUCCCCUUUCUCCUCUCCCAGGGUUAUGAUGUCCUCCUUUUCCUCCUCUCCCUGAGAUCCUUCCAUUCUCCUCUACUGGGGUUCAGGCAAGAUGGCUGACAUGCUAUUUUCACUUCCUUUCCAGUCCAAAAACCAACAAUUUUUGUUUUUCAGAAACCAUGACAAUUUUUAAAAAACAAAAAAACUAUUUCCAUAUUGAAAACUUUGAAAUUGGAGAAAAACUGAACCAGCUCUAGUCAAUAACUAUGAUUUAGCUGAAAUAAUAACAAUGGAAAAUAGAGGGAGUCAGUGAUAAUUAAAGUAAAUCACACAGGUUCAUCCAAAAGAUAUCUUGAUUGGAGCCUGUGGUGGAAAGGUUUUCUGUGUACGUGGGCGAUGGGAAGGCGGAGGGGAUUACCGAUACAACGUAAGUAGAAAAACUUACAUCCUGUGGUCAGCCACAUUCUUCCUUUUUGGUCUCACUCAGCUCAUGUCUGUGUCCCUGUGAGAGACAGUUCAUGUGAGUUACCUCCCUUUACUUUCCUACUGGCUGGCUUUUCAAGUCCAGUUUCAAUUAGCUCUUGAGUAGGGCCGUGACCACCCUCCAAACUCAUUUUGAUGACUUGAAUUCCAAUCUCUUUGAAAUAUGAAUCCUUCCUAGAAACUGGCCUUCUUCGCCUUUAUUUUAAUAACUGAGCAUUAGCUCUGCCAAAUUAGUUAUUGUUUAUAUCAUGAGCCCAAUGCUUCUGCAACAACAUUAAUCUGUGCAGCCAUUAUAUUCGCUAUUUCAUCAGGCAGUAAAUAAAAUGAUCACACACAAUGAAUUAGUUUAUC